UACGUAGGGUGCAAGCGUUGUCCGGAAUUAUUGGGCGUAAAGAGCUCGUAGGCGGUUUGUUGCGUCGGAUGUGAAAACCCAGGGCUCAACCCUGGGCCUGCAUUCGAUACGGGCAGACUAGAGUGUGGUAGGGGAGACUGGAAUUCCUGGUGUAGCGGUGAAAUGCGCAGAUAUCAGGAGGAACACCGAGGGCGAAGGGAUGUCGCGGGCCACUACUGACGCUGAGAAGCGAAAGCAUGGGGAGCGAACAGG
rnacentral:rRNA from 1 species